CUUGGUGUUGGAAGAUGGUCUGCUCUGAAGAAGAAAUGGUUUUCGACCUCAGUCCGAACUGCGGUGAAUCUUAAGGAUAAAUGGAGAAAUUUGCUGAGAUCAUACACGGGAAAUGCAGAAAGAGGAUGCUAUCUGCAACUAGAUCAUAGCUUGAUCCAACGGAUCCAGAAGGUAGCGGCCGAGAACCCAUAUCUAAGCUGAAGCUGCAGUGCUGCACCUUGGAAUGGUGCUAGAGCCAAUAUUUAGGA